rnacentral:lncRNA from 1 species
UCACAAACUUAUGGUUUAGAGUUAAAGGGUGGGGUUUAGGAUUUAGGGUUUAGGGUUUAGGGUUUAGGGUUUAGAGUUUAGGGUUUAGAGUUUAGAGUUUAGGGUUUAGGGUUUAGGGUUUAGGUUUAGAGUUUAAGGUUUAGGGUUUAGAGUUGAGAAAUGAGGUUUUGGGGAUAAGAUUUCAAAUUUUGAAAAAUGAAAAAAUUAAAAUUUUCAAAGGAUAAACUUAGAAAUGUGCUAUUUUGGUCAUUUUAGUUUUGGAGUGCUAUUUUUGUGAUAUAAACUUAGAAAAAUGCUAUUUUGGAGAUUUGCCCU